GCCUUCAUGGUGUAAAGGUAACAUACUCGGCCCGUAUUCGAGAGGUCCAGGUUCGAAUCCCGACGACGGCA
rnacentral:tRNA from 1 species